AGUAUGUCGUAAGGGAACGUCGCCGGAUGGAGGGGGAUAACUACUGGAAACGGUAGCUAAUACCGCAUAACGUCGCAAGACCAAAGAGGGGGACCUUCGGGCCUCUUGCCAUCGGAUGUGCCCAGAUGGGAUUAGCUAGUAGGUGGGGUAACGGCUCACCUAGGCGACGAUCCCUAGCUGGUCUGAGAGGAUGACCAGCCACACUGGAACUGAGACACGGUCCAG
rnacentral:rRNA from 1 species